GGUUCACUCCAGGGAAGAAGAGGUCUUCAGAAAUCUCAUCUGUCUCUCACUGCUUACUCAGAAAAACUCAUUUUGUUCAGUACUUCUAGAUUUAGCUGAAUGGGGUGGGAAAGAGGAAAUGUGUACAACUGCGUAACGGCACCUGGUGCGCUGCUAUGUUCUUUUUGCUCAGAAGCCAGCCCUGAAGAUGGAGACACCCCACAACCCCAAAGGUGACAGCUCAGUGACACAGAGCAUGGGAAAGACUUACCUCCACAGGACAGUUCAUCCUGCAGCAGAACAAGGUGGACUGGGCAAGAACAGCGUGUGGUGCCAUCGCCCUUCACAAUGCAAAUGUGCGAGCAGCCACCAUUGUCUUGAGAACAAGGAUGUUGUCCUGUGAUUUUAAAAAUAAGAAAGACGGAGACUGACAAGGAAUCUUCACUUCUUUUAUAACCUUUCAGCGAUUUCUCUGGGCCCAUCGGUCUCCCUUCAUUACUUCCUUCCCCCUGGGGAGAGCAUUACUAAAAAAUCCCUGAAAGAGUUGUAUUUUUCCCUUUACAUCAGUAAUUAUAACGCACAUUGGUAACUGUCCAUGAUCUGAAACCACUGUAAGAAUUGUGCUGUGGCAUCUACUAAAACGGUACUCAAAGCAUUUUGCUUCUUGUGUGAGGUAGAAUUAGUUCUCUGCAGCAAAUGGUAGUAUUAGUAAUACAAAAAGAUGUCUUGGAUUCCAUACUUCAUUUUCUCUAUCAAAGACCAUUAAAAAAGUAAACUUUUCUAAUUUAUGAAUUCUGAAGCUUCUGUGCUGUCUCCAAAAUUCAAAUUAACAUGCUCUAGAUAAAUAUGUCUCUUCAUUUUAAUGUUUAAUAAGGACAACAUACUUCUCUUGGAACUCCUGACAGAUUUAUUGAG